UACGGGGGGGGCAAGCGUUGUUCGGAAUUACUGGGCGGAAAGGGCUCGUAGGCGGCCAACUAAGUCAGACGUGAAAUCCCUCGGCUUAACCGGGGAACUGCGUCUGAUACUGGAUGGCUUGAGGUUGGGAGAGGGAUGCGGAAUUCCAGGUGUAGCGGUGAAAUGCGUAGAUAUCUGGAGGAACAUCAGUGGCGAAGGCGGCUUCCUGGACCAAUACUGACGAUCAGGUGCGAAAGCGUGGGGAGCAAACAGG
rnacentral:rRNA from 1 species